rnacentral:rRNA from 1 species
CCUACGGGAGGCAGCAGUGGGGAAUAUUGCACAAUGGGGGAAACCCUGAUGCAGCGACGCCGCGUGCAGGAUGAAGGCCUUCGGGUUUUAAACUGCUUUUAUAAGCGAGAAAUAUGAUGGUAACUUAUGAAUAAGGAUCGGCUAACUACGUGCCAGCAGCCGCGGUCAUACGUAGGAUCCGAGCAUUAUCCGGAGUGACUGGGUGUAAAGAGUGGCGUAGUUGGCAUAAUGAGUAGCUAGUGAAAUCUGGUGGCUCAACAAUUCAGACUAUGAGCUAAACUGUUAAGCUCGAGACCGUUAGGGGUAACUGGAAUUUCUAGUGUAGGAGUGAAAUCCGUAGAUAUUAGAAGGAACACCAAUAGCGUAGGCAGGUUACUGGGACGGUUCUGACACUAAGGCACGAAAGCGUAGGGAGCAAACGGGAUUAGAUACCCUAGUAGUC